rnacentral:tRNA from 1 species
GCCCGCGUAGCUCAAUGGACAGAGCAUCUGACUUCGGAUCAGAGGGUUGUGGGUUCGAAUCCUGCCGCGGGCG